AUUUGAAAGUUUAUAAGAAGUUAGGUGCUCCUUGGCUUACAAAUAUACAAAUAAAUGGAAGUAUUUAUCCAGCUGCUGCUAUGACAAGUUUGGAGAAAAGUAAUCAAUACCUGCUUCAGAUACUAAAAUGAUAAUGAACUUGGCUGUAGAUCUGUAUAAAGAAUAAAAUUAAGCUGACAAAUACCUUUUCUAGAUUGAUAACCGGUCAUAUACUCAAACUCAUCUUUUGUAGCCAAAUCAAUCAGAUGUCUCAAAAAAAAAUCACCAUAAGCCCUAACCCAUCAUUUAGAUUGACACACAGAUGACCCUUAUCCCCCCGUUAAAUAUAACAAUUGUGACCGAAAGGCAGAGAG